ensembl:lncRNA
UUAAAAGCUUAUAUUUACCGCAAGAGGUCGCUAUAAGAGCUGCUUAUGUGUAAAACUUUUCUUUGCCAUUUACCAGGCAAAAUAUCCCCAUAAAUAUAUUUUGAACAACAUAAACUAGACGAACUGUAUAAUUAUUAUUGUUUGAAAAAUGUCCCCAUCGUGCUCAUGGAAUCAACCUUCUCUGAGGAGGAAGGCAGAGAGAAUAAUUGUCUCAAACUCUUCAAAUUGUAAACCAGUGAAUUCAUAUCAAAAGACAAUGAUUAUAAACACAAAGGCUAUUUGUAUUGCUGACAGGCACACCCCAAAAACGUAUAAGAAGAGGUCUCAGAGGUGUAGUUUAUGGGAUGUUUCUGAUAAACUGUAGGUUUCCAUUUGAUUGGAAGGCUGAACAGGUGGUUUGGGGGAUGCGCAGUGUUGCCCAACGUCACACUCGGUGGUGGUAUAAAUCCCCCUGGGUUUGUCCUCCUGUCAUUUAUCUUGGGAAAAGACGAAGGCAGGAAAGCUACAUUACGCGCAAUUGUUGCUGUGAAGAACCCGAUAACAAGAUGACUAAAAUUGAGUUGGCUUACAUUGGGUUCCUUCUCCUUGCCAUGCAUUUUUCGUCACAGAUCCAUGCGCAAAACACUACCACACAGUCCCCUGCCAUGAAUGCUACGACCAGAGCUGGCGGUGCGAGUUCCAACAUGACCAAGAUGCCCGAUGUCACCAAGAACAACAUUGCCAAAGGAGCCAGUGCAUCCUUGCAGUCCAGCUCGGGCGUGCUCAUCAUACCCAUCAUGGUGGGGGGCUCACUACAGGGGCGCUUCUAGAGGGCUGUUGCGCAGUGAACAGACACCAGCAAGACUUGAACAUCAGCGGCUGAGAUGGGGCAAACUGUUCUACCAAGAUAACAUUUAAGAAAUAAUCAUUAUGAGAAACUCAGUCAUGUGCACUCCUAACCGAAGAGAUUCGGUGGAGUUGUGUGCCAGACGAGAAUCCAUUUCUAUUUAACUGAUGGGAAUGUUUAUAUUCCCUCAACUUCUGGCUGCUUCAAACCAGUAGGCCUUCACACCUCGCACACUGGCCCCAUGCCGAUUGGCCGAGCUGGAAUAUGGAAUUGUAUGAGCUAGCAUGUGAGAUUUAAUUGUAUGAAUCAUAAUGUGAUAUGCUAAGAUUUGUUUUUAAGGCCAGGUUCAAGUAACCUUUAAAAUGUAGGAUACUUGUGACACUUUUCUUGUAUAAUAAAAAUACUUUAACAUAAUGUUUCUCCUCCUGUCUCUAAAUUCUAAAGCUUGACCUGCCAAGUAAUUUGCUCUGUUCCACUUGUGUCCAGCCCCUUUAUUGAUCACAUAGCUAAGCCCAGGGAUUUCCUUAAGGUAGACUAGGUUUGAUGUGCCACAAAUUAAAUCCUUAUUUUAGAAUGGGGUAUAGGAAUGUUCACCUUUGGCCAGUUGUAGCAUUUAUGCCAUGUCAACUAGGACCUUUCUUGCAUUCCUUGUGGCCAAAACAGUUCAGUUUCCUGACAGUUGACUCACUUGCAGGCUGCUUUAAUUAGAUUUACUUUACCCUAGCUACAUUGACCUGUGACCAGUCAUUUACUUACUAGCCUACAAAGAUGUUCAGGGGAAGGCUGGCUGUAAAAUAUAUUUAAACUAAAACUUGACACUGGGUCUUGCUGGUUGGCUCUACGCCAAAGGGAUGCCUAACUUUUUAGAAUGGUCAUGUUGAGCCCAUAAAUCUAAACCAGGGAUUCUAAGCUGACUAAGGUUAUACCAAGGAUAAUUUUAUGUCACCUCGAAUCAAUGUAAGUAUUUGACAUUACUGCUAUUGGCCCAUACAGUUUGUCCUAAAUUCUGUCCUACAUCUGAGAUCAGGACACUUUGGUACAAUGUAUUUACUGUCUAGGCACAAUUUUCAACUGAUACUGUGGGACCUUCAAGCAAUGUCUCACCUUUCCAGAGGGGUCAUAGUGUGUAGACCGUUCAUAUGCUGCAGACUCAUUAGAGGCUGUUCAGACUUGUCCCAAGAUGGAGAGAAACUGAAUGUCUUCACAAGCGACAUGAGUAGACCGAUUUUCCGGAUGUCUCAUGGUUUUACUAAAACUCACCUUCCACACAGGCAGUUGCGGUGGAUUGAAACUCAUCCAAUGUAACAAAAACUAGCUUAGACUUUUAAUUGUGUUUUAAUGCUAAUUGACCUUAGGGGGUUGAAAUGCUGUAGAUUGUGGUAAUAUUCAAUUUGUUUUCGGUGUUUAACAUGUUUGUAAAAAAAAUGAUGUAUUAAAGCCGCAUACAAACAUGGUCUCUUUUUGCUUUAAGGCAGCUCCAAAAUGCAGGUGUUUCAAUCUAGCUAAGUGCGUUCUGUGGUGGGGUAGCCAGCGGAAAAUAUGUAGUGUGUCGGUAAUGUGCUCUAGUUGCACCAUGAUUAUCUCUGUUCUGUCACUCAUGGGGAGGGGAGACCUUGAAAAUUCAAGCCCCUUGGGUGCUGCCAUAGUUAC